rnacentral:rRNA from 1 species
UACGUAGGGGGCGAGCGUUGUCCGGAGUUACUGGGCGUAAAGGGCACGCAGGCGGUGCGGCGCGUUUCGCGUGACAGCGGAGGGCUUAACUCUCCGAGGAUGCGAAAGACGGCGGCACUUUGAGGGCCAGAGAGGGACACGGAAUUCCGGGUGGAGUGGUGAAAUGCGUAGAGAUCCGGAGGAACACCGAAGGCGAAGGCAGUGUCCUGGCUGGUGACUGACGCUGAGGUGCGAAAGCUAGGGGAGCGAACGGG